UUUUGCAUUUUGUUAAAUUAAAGUAAAUGUUUUUCUUUACUUUUAAAGUUUAUUUUCAAAGAAGUGUUUUAGAGAUUAGAUGGUGGUGCUCACAUAAUACUUUGGUUAAUCAUUAACACAGUUUCUAAACCAGAAUUGAGAUCAAAAUGUGUUUAAAUCAUGAUUAUAACUCAUUUACUAAAAAAAAAUAAAUAAAUACUACUUAAGAGAAAAUGACUUAUUUCUUGCUUCCAUCAUUUGAGUUUGUUUGUUUCAGAGUCAGAGAGCGUGUCUCUGUACAGUCAGAGGUUUUUGUACGACGCUUCAACCAGUUUGUAUCACUGUGGUACACGUUUGGUGGAGGAACCAGACUGGAAGUUGACUUGGGUCAUGUGCCCCCCUCCCUGACCGUGCUCCUCCCCUCCACCAAGGAGCUGCAGCAGGGGAAGGCCACACUCAUGUGUGUGGCCAACAAGGGCUUCCCCUCAGACUGGACUCUGUCCUGGAAGGUGGUCGGCAGCAGCAGCAGCAACUGGGAGGAGAGCAGGAGCCCCGGGGUGCUGCAGAAGGACGGCCUCUACAGCUGGAGCAGCACCCUGAGGCUCUCUGCAGACCAGUGGGAGAAGGUGACCUGUGAGGCCAAGAGAGGAUCCCAGACUGCAGUCUCAGAGACUCUCAGGAGAGACCAGUGCUCCCAGUCCUGAACUGAAGCAUUCUGAAUAUAAAUCUGUUUUCUAU